AGCAGCAAUUAAUACUUUUGAAAAAAUCAGUUAUAAAAAAACAAACAAUUCGUCAAGAAAUGAAUUAAGUAUAGAUGAUGAAAAUGAUGCUUUGUUGGACGCUCAAUUAGUAUCUUCUACGACUGAAUAAUAAUAAAAAACACGUUCAAGUAAUAAUGAUGAAGAAAAUGCCAAAAUUCAAAAAGGUCUAUCGCCGGAAGGUAAUCCCCUAUGUUAUGCGGCUGAAUUCCACUUUGCAGGAUACAAAUACAGCAAGAACAUUAACUGCAGACAGUGAUGGACAACAGUGAAGGGCAACACGAUUAAUUAAAACACUCGACAAUAAUAAACUUAUAUAAAAUUAUAGAAUUAUAUAACUAUCUGACGAAUGGCACGAACACAGUAUAAAGAGAAAUCUCAUACUACUGCCAUGACUGACAAUUAAUUUGCUUCAUUAGUAUGAUAAUUUGCUUCAGUAGUAUGAGAUUUCUCUUUGUACUGCGUUCGUGAAUGCCUGAAAUACCCUUAGAACAUAUAUUAUAUAUAUUAGAAAUACCUAACGUGUGCAGUU